rnacentral:rRNA from 2 species
UACACAUGCAGUCGAACGGCAGCACGGGGGCAACCCUGGUGGCGAGUGGCGAACGGGUGAGUAACAUAUCGGAACGUGCCCUGGAGUGGGGGAUAACUAGUCGAAAGAUUAGCUAAUACCGCAUACGAUCUACGGAUGAAAGUGGGGGAUCGCAAGACCUCAUGCUCGUGGAGCGGCCGAUAUCUGAUUAGCUAGUUGGUGGGGUAAAGGCCUACCAAGGCAUCGAUCAGUAGCUGGUCUGAGAGGACGACCAGCCACACUGGGACUGAGACACGGCCCAGACUCCUACGGGAGGCAGCAGUGGGGAAUUUUGGACAAUGGGCGCAAGCCUGAUCCAGCAAUGCCGCGUGAGUGAAGAAGGCCUUCGGGUUGUAAAGCUCUUUUGUCAGGGAAGAAACGGU